rnacentral:rRNA from 1 species
AUACGUAGGGUGCGAGCGUUGUCCGGAAUUACUGGGCGUAAAGAGCUCGUAGGUGGUUUGUCGCGUCGUCUGUGAAAUUCCGGGGCUUAACUCCGGGCGUGCAGGCGAUACGGGCAUAACUUGGGUACUGUAGGGGAGACUGGAAUUCCUGGUGUAGCGGUGAAAUGCGCAGAUAUCAGGAGGAACACCGGUGGCGAAGGCGGGUCUCUGGGCAGUAACUGACGCUGAGGAGCGAAAGCAUGGGUGGCGAACAGGAUUAGAUACCCUGGUAGUCCAUGCCGUAAACGGUGGGCGCUAGGUGUAGGGGUCUUCCACGACUUCUGUGCCGUAGCUAACGCAUUAAGCGCCCCGCCUGGGGAGUACGGCCGCAAGGCUAAAACUCAAAUGAAUUGACGG